GGGUCCAUCUGGCUGCUGGGUUCCCACCAAAUGCAGAGGGCUCUAUAAAAACCAGAGACAUAUUUACCAAGUGCAUUGACCACAUACAUAUGAUAUACAAUCCAACAAACUUUUGAACAUUACUGUAUAUAUCAGAGAUGCACCGAUGUAUCGGCCAACAAUCAGUAUCAAGUGGUUCAAAAGUUAUAUCUCAAAAAACAUGCAUGAACAUCAAAAGGUGCAUUCAUAGCCACAGUGGCUUUGUUUGGUGGAUGGGGAAGAGGAAAAUCAGAUCCAGCGAAGUGCAAGAAUUAAAGAUAGUUCCUGGGUGAGACAGAGCAAGGAAUAAUGGUAGGCAAUAAAGGGAGGGCGAGAGAUGCAAGUCAUGUUUCUUGAAAUAAUCAGCCCAAAUAACCUUGAGGGCCGUGACUCAUUCAGGGGCACUGUGUUAGUGACGCAAGUAGCCAAUCUCCUAAAAUGAUCAAAAUCAAAUCAGAUUGAGUGAGGAAAAUGAAAUACGUGGGUGUGCCACACUCAGUGUACUAAUUUAUGGCCACGUCCAGCUGAGGGAUCUAUGCAAGCCUGAGAAAUCAUUACAGAGCAGCCUUAUGGCAAUGUGACAUUUGAAUGCAGGAAGUUGGUAAGCAUAGAUUGAAUAUUUCAAUGGCAUUUGAAAUGAUUGAGAAUGAGAAUGUGAUAGUGAUGUUAAAUGGUGCUAUGCAGUGUUGGUGGUAAUGCAUUACAAAUAACGCGAGAUGCGUAAUCAGAUAUGUUUUUUAAGUAUAGUAAAGUAAUGCAUUACUUUUAUAAUUUACAACAAAAUAUCUGAGUUACUUUUUCAACUAAGUAAUGCAAAUUACUUUAUUUUCCCAUUUAGUGACUUUGACACCUCUCCUGUCCCCAUGUUAAAGAGUGAUUCAUAGUUGAACAAAAUGGCUGCAUCCAAAAACCGAAAAAUGCUGCCUUCGGAGGGCACAUUCCAAGGUAGGAAGGCAUCAAGGCAUGUCCGAAUCCACUGUUAGCUUCGCUUCCUGUCUCCUAAGAUAGCUUUAUCUGAUUGAUUUUUGAAGGCAGCAUAGAUGUAUCCUUUGCCGCCUUUGAUAGCCCACAAUCCUGUGCUUUCCAU